AUGUUACUCCCUCCGUCCGGAAAUACUUGUCGAAGAAAUGGAUAAAAAUGAAUGUAUCUAGAACUAAGAUAUGUCUAGAUACAUCCAUUCCUCCGACAAGUUUUUCCGGACGGAGGGAGUACUUU
rnacentral:pre_miRNA from 1 species